CUUGUACGUGAAACCGGCAGCUUUUCACGUAGGCUGUCGCUCAAAAGCCAGGCGACAUAGAACCCCACAGCAUGCAACUCCGGGAGAUAGGGCUCUAAAAUGGUAGCCCCGUCCAUCGAAUGCACGGCUGACAGCU
rnacentral:snoRNA from 1 species